ensembl:lncRNA
GAAACGGCGGGGAACGAGGGAGAACGGCCGAGCUGUGCCCUGGAAACGGAACUGCGGCUGCGGUGACUUCCUGCCUCGGGAGGAAGGAGCGGUGGUUGAAGUUGCGCGUCGGGGUCUUCGCGGGCCCGAGGCACCGGCGGCGGCCGCCCGGGAGGAUGCGGCGGGCAGAGAUGAAGCCUGGGAAAUCAUCACAUCCAAAGGAUUUACUUGGAGUA